rnacentral:lncRNA from 1 species
AAAGAUGGGUCAGUCCGUUCCGAUCCGAACGGGACGGGUCAUUUGAUCCGCUUUUAAAUGGGUUGUUAAAAAUAUAAAUCCAAUCUGCUCCAUUUACAUAACGGGGCAGGCCAAUCUGACGGGUCCAACCCAAAUUGGCGGUUCUAUUUAAAAAGAAUGAUCGCAUACUGUGCAUAUAUUGAGCUAUUGAUAAAUACAUUGUUUUGGGUGAAAUCUGUAAACUCUAAACACAAUCUAUAAAGUAAACAACUCCUUGAGGAAGUCAGACUCAAGUAGGAAAUUCAGCUAGCACCAUCAUAUGCCGCCAGCUACGGUUUACAGAAGUAGGGCAGUAUGUCUUGACCAAGGUACAGGGCCGAUCUUGACAUUUUUUAGAUCUAGGACUAAAUGAAAAAAUGGGAUCUUCUCUAUUAAAAAUUAAUAUACUUUAAAUAUUAAUUAUCAUUAAAAAAUUAAUCUACGUGCAAUAAUUUUUUAUAGAUAUAUUCAUUAAGUAGUGUAUAAAAUUCAUCAUUAAUUUAUUUAAUUAUUUUUUUUGUUAUAAUAUUGUAGAAAGUCAUCCUUGCACCCUAUUGAAACAUCAAUAUAAGGUCUAGGCCUGGGGCCUGGGGCGGUCGCCCAAUUUGACCUGCCCCAGGCCGGCCCUGCCAAGGCAGGUGGCAAUUUGUUUGUCAAUUGCAUGUCGCAACAGAUGGAAUUGUUAGAUGCAACGCAAUUCAAAGCAAAUGGUGAUUGUUUAGAAAAUAUGUAAAUGCUCCGGAUCUGGGAUCAUCCAUUGACCACUGUGAGCCACUUUUAUUAAGGUGACGUGAACAACUUUUACAUACCGAUCUGUGUAAUUCAGAACUCAUGGACGGAGCUGACUUUUAACUUGCAUAAAUUAUUAGAGAAAAUAAGAAAGCAACAAUACACUGCAGAGCAUUCCGGGUUCUUGAAAAGAAUGAUUCCAUGCAUGACCAUAUACCGAGCUGCAGAUAAAUACAUUGCUUUGGGUGAAAUCUGUUAACUCUUAACAAAAUCUAUGAAGUAAACUAGUCCUUGAGAGAAUCGGACUUAUGUGGGUGAUUAAGCUAGCGCCACUGUAUGCCACCAGCCACAGGAUGCAUAGGUAGGGUAGUGUCUCUCGACUGGAACUGGUGACGGUAUGCUUCUGUCAAUUGCAUCUCCCAAGCCAAGCUG